AGAUGGUGAACUAUGCCUGAAUAGGGCGAAGCCAGGGGAAACCCUGGUGGAAGCCCGCAGCGAUUCUGACGUGCAAAUCGAUCGUCAAAUUUGGGUAUAGGGGCGAAAGACUAAUCGAACCGUCUAGUAGCUGGUUCCCUCCGAAGUUUCCCUCAGGAUAGCUGGAGCCCGGUGCAGUUUUAUCAGGUAAAGCGAAUGAUUAGAGGUCUUGGGGUCGAAACGACCUCAACCUAUUCUCAAACUUUAAAUGGGUAAGAGGUCCGGCUUGCUCGGCUGAAGUCGGACGUGGAAUGCCGGGGCUCCUAGUGGGCCAUUUUUGGUAAGCAGAACUGGCGAUGUGGGAUGAACCGAAAGCCGGGUUAAGGUGCCCGAAUCGACGCUCAGCAGAUACCAGGAA
rnacentral:rRNA from 1 species